ACAGAGGUGGCGAGCGUUGUUCGGAUUUACUGGGCGUAAAGGGUGCGUAGGUGGUCAUGUAUGUCGGGUGUGUAAGCCCACGGCUCAACCGUGGAAUUGCACUCGAAACUGCAUGACUAGAGUACAGGAGGGGAGAGCGGAAUUCUUGGUGUAGCGGUGAAAUGCGUUGAUAUCAAGAAGAACACCGGUGGCGAAGGCGGCUCUCUGGAAUGUUACUGACACUGAUGCACGAAAGCUGGGGGAGCAAACAGG
rnacentral:rRNA from 1 species